rnacentral:rRNA from 1 species
GAAUGCUGACAUAAGUAACGAUAAAGCGGGUGAAAAGCCCGCUCGCCGGAAGACCAAGGGUUCCUGUCCAACGUUAAUCGGGGCAGGGUGAGUCGACCCCUAAGGCGAGGCCGAAAGGCGUAGUCGAUGGGAAACAGGUUAAUAUUCCUGUACUUGGUGUUACUGCGAAGGGGGGACGGAGAAGGCUAUGUUGGCCGGGCGACGGUUGUCCCGGUUUAAGCGUGUAGGCUGGUUUUCCAGGCAAAUCCGGAAAAUCAAGGCUGAGGCGUGAUGACGAGGCACUACGGUGCUGAAGCAACAAAUGCCCUGCUUCCAGGAAAAGCCUCUAAGCAUCAGGUAACAUCAAAUCGUACCCCAAACCGACACAGGUGGUCAGGUAGAGAAUACCAAGGCGCUUGAGAGAACUCGGGUGAAGGAACUAGGCAAAAUGGUGCCGUAACUUCGGGAGAAGGCACGCUGAUAUGUAGGUGAAGUCCCUCGCGGAUGGAGCUGAAAUCAGUCGAAGAUACCAGCUGGCUGCAACUGUUUAUUAAAAACACAGCACUGUGCAAACACGAAAGUGGACGUAUACGGUGUGACGCCUGCCCGGUGCCGGA